rnacentral:lncRNA from 1 species
GCCUUAAAUUCAGUGGUUGUCGUUUGUUUAUGUGUUACAUAUUUGUUAUUCGUUCAUUUUUUUAUAUAUAAAUAAGGACGUUAGUUUUCUCGUUUGAAUUGUUUUACAUUGUCAUUUAGGGGCCUUUUAUAGCUGACUAUGCGGUAUGGGCUUUGUUCAUUGUUGAAGGCCUUACGGUGACCUAUAGUUGUUAAUUUCUGUGUCAUUUUGAUCUCUUGUGGAGAGUUGUCUCAUUGGCAAUCAUA